GUGUGUUUUUCUGCUUGUUUUGAUUUCUAUAAGGUCUUGGGCGGGAUCCCAGAUCCCAACAGUAUGCGUGUUUAGAAUUUUUGUUGUGCAUUAUCUAUAACUAUCUAUAAAAGCAGGAAAAUCUGUGUCUAACACCACACCAGUGUGUCUAACCCAGUUGAAAUGGCCAGUUCACCCUCCUUGAAGAUUGUUGAUCACGCUCCAGCAAGCUCCGCGUCAAUUGCAGCUUCUCUAGCAAGCUGUGCAUCACCUCUUGCCACCUGUGUUGCUGCAGCUUUUCACCCAGGCUUGUUACACAAGUUAUGCGAUGUUGAGAGGUGUAGUGUUUCAUUGCGUUGGUGCAAAAUAAUCUGCGUUUUGUCAACGAAACAGAAGAGGUAUGACAUUCUUCAAUUUCCAUUUUUUAGUUGCUGUGAAAUCCAAUUCUUUCUUCCAUUGUCAUAUGUUUGCUUCAUUGAAAAUUGUUUUUUAGAUAUCUGUUUAUGAGCUUGGUUACUGCCUAUAUUGAAUUUAAUUUCUUCUUGUCGAAAUUAACUGUUCAUGAAUUUGUGUUUUGGGAUGGACUUCUUCUUUAUUUACAUUUGUUAAAAUUUCUGCCCACCAAGUGUUUGAUUCUAUGUUCAAGUGAGAAAUUCAUCAGAAACAAUUGGAACAUGCUCAUCACCAAGUGUUUGAUUAUUGCCCACCAAGUGGUUGUAACUGUUUUCCCAUUUUAUAAAGCAAAAUUGGAACAUUCUCACGUCCUGUCUUGGACCACUAACGCAACAGAUAUAUUGAAAUGUUGGAUUGCUCCAUUGACUUUAGUCCAAACCGAUAAUCUGCCUGAUUUUCCAGAAAUCAAUGUUAGAUUACAUUUAGUAGAUGGCGUAUUCUGAAAAUUCUGUUUAAGUCAGUUUUACAAUUUGGUGUUUUUAAUUAAAUUCAUUUUUUUUUUUCCCUUAAGAAAUAAAUAUAUAUAGUGUGACUAGGGCAUAGUUAACAACACUAACCCUUUAUAGCAUCAGGAAGACAGCCUUCAAUUGGUUGCUCAGGCUUGUCCUGAGAUUAAGAGAAGGAUUUCAAUUAGAACUGAAAAUAAGUUGAGAAGCUAAAAAUUAUAUAACUAGACAAAUGCCAAUACCACAACAAACUUCAAAGGUGACUAAUUCGCAAGUUUGUGUGCAUGUGUCAACACAUGUGGAGGUACUUUCACGAAUAUUGUAAUGUAAAUGACCAUACAAACAUGAGGUCAGUAAAUUCUGACUGCUAACCUAUGAUACAUGUAUACUAACAGAGAGCCAAUUUGUAGGCCAAUCAGAGUAUCUAGGUUGGUCUCUAAAUCUAAUGUUCAUGAACACCUAUGGUCAAUAUCUAAAGCGAAUUUAUGUUUUCCUAGAUUCUAUUAUUUGGUUAGAUGUAUUAUGUGCACUUUAUCAUGCUGCAUGUUGAAUAUCUUAAUCAAUUAAACUUCAACUGUCCAAUUGAUGGACUCUUAUUUCUCUCAACAGAAUAUUUCCAUUCAAAUAAGCUAAUGAGAUAGUUUCAAAUCUCUUACUGACUUGGAGUUUUAGUCUGAUUGUGAGAUGACGGUGGUUUGGAUAACUGGAAUUUUGAAUUGGGGGGCAUUAGAAAUGAUUAAUUGUUGAUAGUUUUUAUUUUUUAUAUUUUCAUUUAAACAUUUACUCCUAGUUCUCUGUAUAAUUUAUUUUUCUUGUUGUUGUUAACAUAACCAGUAAACCAGAAAUGAAAUCUCUUAUAAUUUAUUUUCCGUAAUUUAUUUUUGUAUUCCUUCAUUUUUGUUAUUUGUUCUUUGCUGCUGGUUCGUUUUUGUAUUCGUGGUCUGUUUUUGUAUUCCUUCGCUUUUGUUAUUUGUUCUCAAAACAGAGUACUAGAAAAACUAGAAUAUUUUACAACAAACAAACUCUAUUGUGUUGUCUGGGUCUUUCACUUUUUAACCUGGUUCUUAGUUUGUUGAACUGUUUUUAUUGGUAUAGAAAUGGUUGGACUGAUGAAAAGAUUGUAACCCUUUUGGAUUUAGUACUCAGAACAGAACCCUUGCUUGGUUAGCAAUCUCUGUUUUUCUGCAUACCCAUUUCUCUAAUUCAAGUGAACCAAAGUUCCCAAUUUCAUUGAGGGUUUGGUGGGGUUUUUACUUUUCAUGUCUUAUUAUUCUUUCACAAAAAUUCAUAACUCUAACCAUAAAAAUUGUAACUUUUCUUACAAUGUACAAGUGCACAUUGUAGCAGUUCCCCCCAAAAAAUUUUUAUUCACAUUCUUUUUUUUCCCAUCCUUUUUUGUUUUUCUUUAUUUCCAAUCCAGCCAAUUGGUUGUUCCUGUUGCUAAUUGCUAAUUUAUGGUUGUUUCCUGUUGAUACAUGGAUAUAUUUCUGAUAAAAUGAAAGGGCAAUGAAAUAUCAUGGGUCAAUAGUUGUGGAGUUGUAUGCAAAAAAAUAGCAGAAAUUCUGGUCUGUAAAAGUUCCAAACGUCCAAAAAUAUUUGUGCUUUAUUACAAUGUUGCUCAAAAAACAUGGACAACAAAGUAAAAAGGACCAUAGUGUUCUUUUAUUUGAACUUUGCAAAGAAUUAUUUUUAUUUAUUGAUUGAUUUGUUCUUUCAUUGGAGGCUUAUUAUCAAGAAGCUUGUAAUUUUCUGACAUGCAAUGGCAACAUAUAUAUGAUAUUAUACUUAUCUGGCAAAGGUAUUACAGCCAACCUUGCAGCCAACUGAACAACGAUUUUCCACAAGCAUCAAAAGAUGAAGUGCUUGUAGCAUAUUCUUAUUCAAAGUUUUACAUGUUCAUGUGGUAGAUAAUAUUUGUUGAGCCACGCAAGAUACAACCUGCAUCAAGACAGAACAGAGGCCAUGUAGCAUUUUAGCUAGCAUACCCAACUCACCAGGCACCACUAGCAGCAACCAUCUUAUCUCAUUCCACCACCUAUGCAAAUCCUACACUAUCCAGAGAAAACUCGAAGGUGGAUUUGUUUCCAGUUCUACCUUUGGAAGGAGUGGCAGCGUAGAGAGCAGGAAAAAAGAGAAACAUAAAACAAUCCUUCCAACCGGUUAACCCAAAGAGUUUCAUUUGAAGACAAGGGGGCCAAUUUAUUUGCUGGUUUACAAUUCCGUGAAAUAUAAGAUGUGGUUAUGAUUGAUAGGAUAGAAAAGAAGAAAUAUUGUAUAUUUUGCAUUGGAGAAUUUCUCAAAAAAAAAAAAAAAAAAAAAAAACA